UGUUAGUGUAUGCAGUGUGUGUUGUGUUAGUGUAUGCAGUAUGUGUGUGUUGUGUUAGUGUAUGCAGUGUGUGUUGUGUUAGUGUGUGCAGUGUGUGUUGUGUUAGUGUAUGCAGUGUGUGUGUGUUGUGUUAGUGUAUGCAGUGUGUGUGUGUUGUGUUAGUGUAUGCAGUGUGUGUUGUGUUAGUGUAUGCAGUGUGUGUUGUGUUAGUGUGUGCAGUGUGUGUGUUAGUGU